GAUGAAGAACGCAGCGAAAUGCGAUACUUGGUGUGAAUUGCAGAAUCCCGUGAACCAUCGAGUCUUUGAACGCAAGUUGCGCCUCAAGCCAUUAGGUUGAGGGCACGUCUGCCUGGGCGUCACAUAUCGUUGCCUGAUGCCAGUUUCCUCGUGAUGGGUGACUGUGCAGGGCGAGUGAUGGCUUCCCGUGAGCAUUGUUGCCUCAUGGUUGGUUGAAAAUUGAGUCCCUGGUAGGGAGCGCCGUGAUAGAUGGUGGUUGAGUGACGAACGAGACCCAAUCAUGUGAGACCCCUACCGAAUUUGGCCUUCAUGACCCACAUGCGUCUUUGGAACGCUCAUGACGAGACCUCAGGUCAGGCGGGGCUACCCGCUGAGUUUAAGCAUAUCAAUAAGCGGAGGA
rnacentral:misc_RNA from 1 species